rnacentral:rRNA from 1 species
CCUACGGGAGGCUGCAGUGGGGAAUAUUGCACAAUGGGGGAAACCCUGAUGCAGCGACGCCGCGUGAGUGAAGAAGUAAUUCGUUACGUAAAGCUCUAUCAGCAGGGAAGAAAUACUGACCUUACGGUCAGCAGACGGUACCUGAGUAAGAAGCCCCGGCUAACUACGGGCCAGCAGCCGCGGUAAUACGUAGGGGGCAAGCGGUAUCCGGAUUUACUGGGUGUAAAGGGAGCGUAGACGGUGCGCCAAGUCUGGAGGGAAAUGCCGCAGCUUAACUGCGGAACUGCGUUGGAAACUGGCGAACUAGAGUGCGGGAGGGGUAAGCGGAAUUCCUAGUGUAGCGGUGAAAUGCGUAGAUAUUAGGAGGAACACCGGUGGCGAAGGCGGCUUACUGGACCGUAACUGACGUUGAGGCUCGAAAGCGUGGGGAGCAAACAGGAUUAGAUACCCGAGUAGUC